rnacentral:lncRNA from 1 species
GUUGGAAAAGGGAGGAAUAUUUUAAUAGCCUUCCAGAUAGCUGAAGACAUUCAUCUUUGACACGACAGCAAAGUUCAACAAGUGGUAGGUUCUUCAAAGUUGGUUGCAAUGUGGGAUCUGACAACCCUAUCGAUGAUUUCAUACUCUGUCACAUCGCUCUGUCUUAGACUCUCGGUACAUAUUUCAUGAUAGCUGGCAUUCGACGUUUUGAAAAUAUUGAUUCACUAAGUUAUGCAUAUUUUCCAAAUGUUAACACAUUUUGUUAUACAAUACGAAAAAGUAACACUUUUUAAUCUCCACCAGUCUCAUCAGAAAAGCCUAGACAUUGGAAAGCUGUCGAGCUCACAGGACAGAUACAAAUUUUACAAAAUUCAAAUUUCCUUUUGAAAGCUUGGUGAUCAUUGGUGAUAAAUAUUGUGGGUUGUUUUCUUAAAAGACAGGCUCACUUAGUUCAUUUUCGAGCAAAUGUCUGCCAAACACCCCAGUUGGAAUAACCAUGGUUAUUUGGCAGCUCAUUCAGCUUGCAACUCAAGCAGAUGAGUGCUCGCCCUCAAAACCAUCACCCUCUGGUGUGCAGCAGAAAUGCUUUCUGUGUACUUCCCAUUUUGUCACAGGGAACAUUAAAAAGAUGUCUACUGAAGGGUCAAGAUUUAAUAAAAUUAUAACCUUUAUGCUUCAUCAAGGACAUUCUUAGGAGAAACUGGACUCUGCUUCUGUCCGUCUUGCUGUCUACUGCGAGUGUGUGAAGAACGCCAGCAGUGCUGGUAGUGUUGUGCCAGGCAGGACUCGUGCUCAGGUGCCAACCGCUGAGCCCACGAGGCCUGUGCACCAUUAGUGCAAUGCUCAGCCAGCGACAAAGGCGAAGGGCGUUCACCUGGGCACCCUCACACUUGAAGAACACAGCUCUCAUCUUUAUUGCUCAAGGUACUUUAGGUGGCAGAUGACAGAAAUCCAACAAGUUGCUUAAGCAAACAAAACAAAACAAAACGAUAUAUGUGCUCACAUAGCUGGGCAGGCUUGAGCGGAUCUCGCCUCCAGCAUGACUGGAUUCAGGGCUCAAAGAAUGUUAACGCCUCUCUCUCCCUCUUUCUCUCUCCACAUCUCAACUCUCUUUUCUCUGUACUUUGGCUUAAUUCUCAUCUCCUAUAAUGGGCGCUCUGCGUAUGUCAGGAAACACAGCCACCAGCAGCUCUAAAACUACACCUGCUUGUAAUUCCAGGAAGAGAGGUCUUUUACGUAGUGUCUGGCCAUCCAGUCUCAUGGAAGAUUCCAGGUAGAGAGGUCUUUUACGUAGUGUCUGGCCAUCCAGUCUCAUGGAAGAUUCCAGGAAGAGAGGUCUUUUACGUAGUGUCUGGCCAUCCAGUCUCAUGGAAGAUUCCAGGUAGAGAGGUCUUUUACGUAGUGUCUGGCCAUCCGGUCUCAUGGAAGAUUCCAGGUAGCCCAGCUAGAGCCAGGUAUCCAUCCCCUGCACCUCUGCGGGAGCCAGAGGUCCGGCUGGGUGGCCACGUGGGCGGCCAGCGGGGAGGUGCUGAGCCUGGCGGCCCCAUCAGAGCCUCAUGAUUGGCACAGGGAGAGGGCUGUGGCCCCAGGAGAGAGGGAAAGCGCCGGGCAGACAACAUAGCAGAUAUCCAUGACAAAUACUGCACUGCCAAGGUUCUCCUCUGCUUUGAGUGUUUCUAAUCAAGAGAGAAUAGAGAUCAGUGAACUGCUCUCAACUCCAUGUUCUCUUGUGUCUCAGCCCCACCACCUCACUGCUAAACCCCGUGCUGCAACGCCAGAGCAGACCCAAUUCCACGGAGGAGCCUGUGUCUGAAGCUCUUUUCUGUUAGGGUCAAAAGUGAGCUAAUGUCUUCUAAAUGGAACAACCUGGAGGGCUUUCUGGAAAAUACAGAAGGUGUUCAGGGAGAAUGGGCGUCAUAAAUAACGGAAGACAUGGCCCUUGCUAGAAGCUACAUAGGAAUACCUGGUUAAAAAGUACGUUUCAGGAGCAUUUUAAAAGAAAGAGCCAAAAUAAAAGGUGGCUGCGUGGGGCUGGCCCCGUGGCCGAGUGGUUAAGUUCGCGCGCUCCGCUGCAGGCGGCCCAGUGUUUCCUUGGUUCGAAUCCUGGGCGUGGACAUGGCACUGUUCGUCAGACCACGCUGAGGCAGCGUCCCACAUGCCACAACUAGAAGGAGCCACAACGAA